CUUAGGCUAGAAUCUUCCCGGUAAGCGCACCUUGGCGUGCUUACAAACAUUAUUAGAAAUGGGCUAGUCCAGGGGCGAGAAUUAGCCUGUAAGGGUUAGAGUUCAUGGGCCAAGCAGUUCUUUAAAUGAAUACAGUUUGUGUGUUGUUAUUUCGGGCAUGAGCUAGCCAUGCGGGCGGCCGGGUGCUGGGGACGCAGCCCUGCCGCUCCUAUUUCAACAGAUGGCGCCCAGACGUGAUGGCUAAAUCCACUUAAAAACCUGAGAAGGCUUAAAAAUAAGGGAGAGAGAGUUUAACACAGAUUUUUGCUGUUUUGUUGGUGGCGUUCUGUAGAGAGAUUCCUGAUUCAGCAACAGCAAAAAAAAAAAAAAAAAGCCGCGUCAUUUUAAAGCGCUGCUUCCUGGAGCUAUGCUGCCAGCGUGAACUCUGGCUUUAAAGCAUUUCAAGGCUUUUACGGGACUGGAUGUUUGUGUUCCCGCUUGGGAUCGGAGGAGAGUGCUCUGAGACCAUGCUGAUGGCUCAGCAUUCCCUGCCUGCACCUGGACAGAUGGCGGAAUCAGGCUUAGGCAGGCGGAAGAGCAUGGCGGAUUCCUGCCGCCAUACAGAGACGCGUUUUCAGACUGCGCAUUGCUCUGUGUGUCAGAUUUUGCUGUAACUUGGAUUAAAAAGAGUUUCUGUGCUGCACACUCAGUCUCAGAAUUAAACUGCUGAUUGUGGCUCCAAUGUGGGCUGCUGUGUGCCUUGAACUGUGUGUGGUUCAGGGGCACCAAAUGGCUCUGAGGCAAGAGCGGCUCAGCUCGGCUCUGCCAUGCUGAACUGAGCUGGUCUCAGGCAGGAACUACUGUAAUUACCUUAAAACUGCGUAGUUAAGGUUUAGACUGGGCAGGACACAAGCAGUACCGUAUUACCUGCACAUGGUGCAACUUAAGUUUUUAAGAAGUGCUUAACAUUUAAAAAAAAAUGCUCCUGGAUAGUAAAAAAAUUACAGAUUCACAGUAAAACAGAUUCAGACACUGUUGCAUGAAUGUACGUAGGCUUGGGAGAGAGAAGAAAAAGAAUAUAAAGAAUAAAGUUAAUGUCUUAAAAAGAAAAAGGGUAAAGUCUUUAAAGAGACAGAGUACAGAAGUACAGAUAGUUAUAGAUUAAGAGAAAUAAAGAAAAAUAAGCCACGUAAAAAUGGAAAAUUCACAGAGAGUCUGGAUUAUGUACAUUGUGUUUUCUUUAAAAUUUUUGACUGUGAAGGAGCUAAGUACAGAGAGACAUUUCAUUACAUGGGCUGCCAAGCUAAACCAAAAUGGAUAUAAGGGUAUUACGAUUUCAAAAUUUGGGUCUAAGGAUAUGAUGCUUUGGAGAGGGUCUUCUUUUGUUUUUGCAGAGGAUGAGACCCAAUGGAUUGCAUCUAUUCCGAUUUGGUAUGAUAGACCACGCCCUCCUGAAAGGUUGCUGUGAAUACCUUCCCAAAAUUGCUUCACUCAACUGCCAACUGAGAUGAAACUAGCACACAGGUUAUACCAUAAACGACCUAAUUAACGACGCCCCUAUUCAGCAGGAAGCAGUUUGGAGAGAAGAAACUACACCCAUGUUCCCAAAUACUGUUUAUAACUGUUCUUUUACAUUUAAAGGGGGAUAUGAUAUAGAUAUGAAUAAUUUGCAUUGGCAUGGAUUUUAAGGUCAAUUUUGUUAUAUGUAUUUCUGAUCUUGAUUAAGGUAUUAUGAUUGUGUAGUUCAUUUAAAAUAUAAUGUGUAAUAGGAAAUAUAGGUUGCUAAUGGAUAAUCAUCACUAAUAGUUAAGCUUAUAAUCAUGUUACUUAGAUUUUCUAGAUAUAUAGAGAUAUAUUUUAGUUAGAUAGGCAUUCUUCAUAUCUUUCAAAGGCUGCAGAAUAUGGCAUUUAAGAUAUUUUAAUAACUUAGGACUUUUCAUGACAAUGAGACACGUCUGCUCCUGGCAGCACCAAUCUACUUCAAAAGGAAGAUGGGCAUCGAAGAGGAUCCUUAUGGAGUUUGAUAGACAUUUGGGCAAGAAACUGCUCUUGCCUGGACUAUUGCAUAAACUGGACACAGAGAACCCGCAGAGAGAGGACUGCUGAACUUGCCUAAAGGUGAGAUGAUCUUUCGGGGUUCCUGAUUCAUGAAAGAGUCUGCAAGACAUUCUUCAAGACAAGCAGAUAGUGACUGCCUUUGAAAGUUCCUGCUUUGUGGAAAUGUCUGCUGGAAACUAUGGGCCUCUAGGCUGAAGAUGGAUGCCCCAACGGUACAGAGGAACUUUGGGUGAAUGUCCAGGCAGCGAGAUGUCUCUGUCAUUUCUAGAGCUUUGGAUGUUAAGUUAAAGCCUUCUUUUUUUUGUUUAAACAGAAAAAGGGGAAGUGAUGUGGGAGUGUCAUAUAUCAAUCUGUUGAUUUCAUUGGUUAAGUUAUAAUAAACCAACUGCUUGGCCUCAUAGCUUGGAUGGGAGGAGAAAACAGAAUAGGAUGCUGGGCGGAAGAGGAAGUGAGGUCAGUCUCUGCUCUGCUUCCUGAGAGAAGCCAUGCUCAGCUCUCCCGGGUAGACCCAAGAGCUCUGCUCUCUGGAGCAGAGACACCACGAUGGACUUUGGCUAGAAUCUUCCUGGUAAGCGCACCUUGGGAUGCUUACACACAUCAUUAGAAAUGGGCUAGUCCAGGUGCGAGAAUUAGCCUGUAAGGGCUAGAGUUCAGGCCAAGCAGUUCUUAAAUGAA